GCCCUCAUCUGAGGUGACGGGAAAGGGCCGGGAAAUUUCCACUUCUGAAUAAAAUGACUGCUGAAGUGAUGACCCGCAAGAAUUGGUCAAAUUUGGAGUAGACUUCACCCUGCGCUUGGUGAAACUUCUACGUCAAGGAUGCAAGAGGCGCCGAAGUAACGCAGCUCCCACCUGUCGCUCUCCGCUGGGCGCCGAGACUAUGGCCGGAGAAUAGCUGCACCGGGAUUGGAGAAAGGAAGCCAUCAGUCUUAGGAAGGCUCCACCUUCCUGCCAUUGCCUGGUUGGAGGAGCGUAGCGUCAGUCACUAGAGCAGUCACCACCUCUGGGACAGGUGAAGAUGUGUAACCUAUUUGCCGGGGGCUAUUUGGGAGGGAAUAGAGGACGGGGAGCGAUGAGGGGACAGUCGAGGGGCAAGGCCGAUCUCGCUUCGCGCCUCCCGCCUUUCUGAGUUGAGCCUAGCGCGCGGGUCUGAGGGACAUCCGGGGAGCUGCUUGGGAUGGCCGCCUUGGGGAGACUCGACCCGCCCGCCAGGACCCGGCCGCGCGCCGCAGUUCGGGCGCCUUCGGGCAGGAUCGCCCAGCGGGGCCGCGUUCUCCUGCUUGCGGACGGCUGCGGGCCUGAGGGCUGGACAGCGCCAUGCCUCAGUACCGGGAACUGUCCCACGUAGGAAGGUGGGAAUGCCGCGAACGGCGUGCGGAAUCCGACCUCAAGGUGGAACGGGGUGGUGAAGAGUGCAUGCUCCGAGGCAGUUUCGAGUUCUGGUGCUGCCACUUACUUGCUGCCUGACUUCGGCGCGUUUGCUGUUUCAUUUUUGUGACUUUCAACUCGCUCCUCUGUGAAAUGGGAGUAAUAUUAGUACCUUCCUCAUUGGGUUGUUGUUAUGAAUAAAUUAGAUGAUAAUAUAGCGCUUAGCAAAGUCCCAAACUUACAGGAAAGACUCAUUUUUGCUAGUUAUUGUCUCCUCUUCCUUCAGGAACUCUCUGCUCGCCCCUGGGUCCUGCCAGCCCAACUAAUUCUAGUUCUAAUCAGAUCUGUGUGGUGCAAAACAAGGCUAGCUGUGGUGGUCUUCCCUCCUCUAAGGAGAUCUCUUCCUCCCUAUAUGCAUCUCUCUAUCUCUGUCUUUAUCUUGUCAGUAAAGAGGGGGGUUAAAAAUAUUCAGAUUCUAUAGCGGGCGCCGUGGCUCACGCCUGUAAUCCCAACACUAUGGGAUGUUGAGGCGGGCGGAUCAUUUGAACCCAGUAGUUCGAGCCCAGCCUAGGCAACAUGGUGAAAUCCCGUCUUUACCAAAAAUACAAAAAUUGGGCUCGGCGCGGUGACUCACGCCUGUUAAUCCCAGCACUUUGGGAGGCCUAGGUGGGCGGAUCAUUUGAGGUUAGGAGUUCUAGACCAGCCUGGCCAACAUGGCGAAACCCCGUCUAUACUAAAAAUACAAAAAUUAGCCAGAUGUGAUGGUGCG
rnacentral:lncRNA from 1 species